AGGGGAGUGAAAAAGAACCUGAAACCGUGUACGUACAAGCAGUGGGAGCACGCUUAGGCGUGUGACUGCGUACCUUUUGUAUAAUGGGUCAGCGACUUAUAUUCUGUAGCAAGGUUAACCGAAUAGGGGAGCCGAAGGGAAACCGAGUCUUAACUGGGCGUUAAGUUGCAGGGUAUAGACCCGAAACCCGGUGAUCUAGCCAUGGGCAGGUUGAAGGUUGGGUAACACUAACUGGAGGACCGAACCGACUAAUGUUGAAAAAUUAGCGGAUGACUUGUGGCUGGGGGUGAAAGGCCAAUCAAACCGGGAGAUAGCUGGUUCUCCCCGAAAGCUAUUUAGGUAGCGCCUCGUGAAUUCAUCUCCGGGGGUAGAGCACUGUUUCGGCAAGGGGGUCAUCCCGACUUACCAACCCGAUGCAAACUGCGAAUACCGGAGAAUGUUAUCACGGGAGACACACGGCGGGUGCUAACGUCCGUCGUGAAGAGGGAAACAACCCAGACCGCCAGCUAAGGUCCCAAAGUCAUGGUUAAGUGGGAAACGAUGUGGGAAGGCCCAGACAGCCAGGAUGUUGGCUUAGAAGCAGCCAUCAUUUAAAGAAAGCGUAAUAGCUCACUGGUCGAGUCGGCCUGCGCGGAAGAUGUAACGGGGCUAAACCAUGCACCGAAGCUGCGGCAGCGACGCUGAUGCGUUGUUGGGUAGGGGAGCGUUCUGUAAGCCUGCGAAGGUGUGCUGUGAGGCAUGCUGGAGGUAUCAGAAGUGCGAAUG
rnacentral:rRNA from 1 species